UAUUAGUAAACCUGGUUUACGGAUGAUGAAACAGACUCAGAAAGGUGGAUUGGCGUGACCAGCAUCCCACAGCUGAGAAAUAAUAAAGCACAGACUGACUCCCACUGCUGAUGCUGGACCUGGAGAAGGAGGGAUGUGGCCACCUGUCCAGAUGAGAUUUCAUGGUCAUGACUGAAUGAGCUGAGCUCUGAACCCAUCUCCAGGGAGUGUCGGGCAUGACUGAUAAAUACUAAGCACAGCCUUCUUGGGAUUUCCAGUAGGAACAGACUUCAGACUUCCGGGGACAUGAAAAGGAUGGUGACAAGAAGUUUCCAACACUGCUCCGUUUCAAACACUAUUGCCCC